UGUCCGCCCGGCUCUAGCAGCACGUAAAUACUGGAGUCUAGGAUGAUACAUUUGCCCUCCAGUAUUGCUUUGCUGCUUUAAUCGGGUUUGAUGUU
ensembl:miRNA aca-mir-16b aca-mir-16b